rnacentral:rRNA from 1 species
CCUACGGGUGGCAGCAGUGGGGAAUAUUGGACAAUGGGCGAAAGCCUGAUCCAGCCAUGCCGCGUGUGUGAAGAAGGCCUUCGGGUUGUAAAGCACUUUCAGUGGGGAAGAAAGCCUUGGGGCUAAUACCCUCGAGGAAGGACAUCACCCACAGAAGAAGCACCGGCUAACUCCGUGCCAGCAGCCGCGGUAAUACGGAGGGUGCGAGCGUUAAUCGGAAUUACUGGGCGUAAAGCGCGCGUAGGCGGUCUGAUAAGCCGGUUGUGAAAGCCCCGGGCUCAACCUGGGAACGGCAUCCGGAACUGUCAGGCUAGAGUGCAGGAGAGGAAGGUAGAAUUCCCGGGGUAGCGGUGAAAUGCGUAGAGAUCGGGAGGAAUACCAGUGGCGAAGGCGGCCUUCUGGACUGACACUGACGCUGAGGUGCGAAAGCGUGGGUAGCAAACAGGAUUACAUACCCCGGUAGUC